AUGCAUCCGAAGCCGAGACUCAUAUUACUUGAUGGCAUUGAAAUCAAGCAACAACUAUCAGGCAAAGAACAGCUUAGCCAUGAGAUGUGUGCUGCUAUCUUUAGGAGACUGUCACAGAUGGACAAGAGCUUCACGAAGGACACAUUGACCAUGUUUUGGAGGAAGUUUCUAGAGCCCGACUUCGCUACUGCGGUUUUGUCAAAUGCGGAUCCAUUGACGAUCCAGUCAAUCCGUGCAACAUUUACCGAAGAAAACGAGAUUUUCAGCCCAGCCUCUAGCCGGAUGUGGCAUAUCCCUGCAUUGCUGCCCGACGGCUGGUCCGUCUACUCAUUUGACAUGCUCAGAAGAAGGAUUGCAGUACUUGACCCGGCAGUUGGACCAUUUGGGUUUAGCAACCGAAGGAUCAACAUGCACACAUACGUAUCUGACUUGCUACACGCUGCCCUCUUCAGAUGCAUCCAAUCCCUGUAUGAUUCCUGGCAUUGCAGUUCCGGAGAAUGGACCCGGGCAUUUCCUGUUAUCAUGGUAGAGAACAUUGAUAAGGAGGACUACGGUGUGUGCUCUUCGUUCUUCGCCAGGAAUUAUGAUGGCGACAAACUGNNNNNNNNNNNNNNNNNNGCAAACCUGGAGAUACAUAGGAACCUGAUGUUGUACGAGGUUAUGCGCCUUUAG
rnacentral:rRNA from 1 species